rnacentral:rRNA from 1 species
GACGAACGCUGGCGGCGUGCUUAACACAUGCAAGUCGAACGGAAAGGCCCUGCUUUUGUUGGGUGCUCGAGUGGCGAACGGGUGAGUAACACGUGAGUAACCUGCCCUUGACUUUGGGAUAACUUCAGGAAACUGGGGCUAAUACCGGAUAGGAGCUCCUGCUGCAUGGGGGGGGUUGGAAAGUUUCGGCGGUUGGGGAUGGACUCGCGGCUUAUCAGCUUGUUGGUGGGGUAGUGGCUUACCAAGGCUUUGACGGGUAGCCGGCCUGAGAGGGUGACCGGCCACAUUGGGACUGAGAUACGGCCCAGACUCCUACGGGAGGCAGCAGUGGGGAAUAUUGCACAAUGGGCGGAAGCCUGAUGCAGCAACGCCGCGUGCGGGAUGACGGCCUUCGGGUUGUAAACCGCUUUCGCCUGUGACGAAGCGUGAGUGACGGUAAUGGGUAAAGAAGCACCGGCUAACUACGUG